GAUGAAGAACGCAGCGAAAUGCGAUAAGUAAUGUGAAUUGCAGAAUUCAGUGAAUCAUCGAAUCUUUGAACGCACCUUGCGCUCCUUGGUAUUCCGAGGAGCAUGCCUGUUUGAGUGUCAUUAAAUUCUCAACCAUUAUCAACUUUUGCUGAUAAUGGCUUGGAUGUGGGGGUCUAUUUUGCUGGAUUCUCAGAUAGUCAGCUCCCCUUAAAUGCAUUAGCCGGUGCCCCGCGUGGACUGUCUAUUGGUGUGAUAAUUAUCUACGCUAUGGACAUCUGCAAUCAUAUGGGUUUGCGCUGCUUCUAACAGUCUGUUGAUUCAGACAAUACAUGACAAUUUGACCUCAAAUCAGGUAGGACUACCCGCUGAACUUAAGCAUAUCAAUAAGCGGAGGA
rnacentral:misc_RNA from 1 species